UUACAUUUAUUUUGGUGUACUUUAGAGCCUAGUAUUAGGUUAGGUAAGAUUAGAUUAGAUUUAUAGUAAUUAGUCAGAUGAAAUUUACAGUGGAUUUCAUUUCUUCUCCUCAGUCAGUUUGCUCUCUAGACAAUUAAAGACAAUGAAACAUGCCAUAAUGUUGCAGGCCAAGCCUGCCCCUUAGAUAGGUAGGAUAUAGGCUGUGUGUGUAUGUGUGUGCCUCUGUAUGUGAGGGUGUGCGCGUGACGUGGGAGGAAGUGCUUGCAUGUAAAAAACAGGAAGUGUAACCCUGGAGCCGUACAUGGCGUACGAGUGUGUGUGAAUGCAGCCGCAGCCACGGAGUAUACUAUCGUGCCAACAAACACGAAAGUAAAACCAAACGUGUUAGGUUGGAACUGUGUGUGUACAGCCUGCUGCAGAGUUUCAAUAAAGUGCCGGGUUGUCCACCGCAGAGCUGGUCCGGAUUUUUAUUGGUAUGCUGUUACCCAUAACGAGCCACGCUAAGCUAAGGGAGCUAGCGUUAUACCUGAGGCUGCCCAACUACGGUUCGGAAGCCACGAGACGGGUCGGUAACAAUAAGUGCCCUUAAAGCUCAUAAAGAGCUGAAUGUUUGGAGAGCUAAAUGGUUUUUCUAACUGUUUUUGCCAUUUUUCUCACACUAAUUAUGAACUUACGAAACAGAGGGUUUUUGUCUGUGGGCCCUUGUCUACAUGGGGAUAGAGCCCCCUACCCAACACCUCCCCUCUCCCAAAAUGUGGUUUCUGGGCAAAAGUUAGUAAACAAACUGUGAUUGGCUAAUCAGACUGACCAAUCCUAAGAAGAUGGUGUCUCCCCUUUUGAUGUCUUACAGUCAUCAGUCAUUAGAAACAAUCUACAUCUGUAUUAACAUAAAUGUUUCUGUGUUUCUGUAUUUAUCUUAGAAUGGCUCUGCACAAAGUCAUCAGCAGUCAUCCCGACUCACCUUUUUUUCGUCUCUCCAUGUAACAGUGGUACAAAUGGAGGACAAAAAUAAGGUCCUCUCUUGGAUCUUCAGCUCAGGAGAUCCAAAGCCCUGUGUGGUUAAAAAAAAUGCAAUAUGUGAUGGAGACAGCAUGGCCAAAAUCACCCUGUAUGAGGAGUACACCACAAAAAUAAAAAGAAAGGGCAGGGUUACAUAAUGAAUGGGUACCUCUUAAAAAAUGAAGGCACCCCCAUACAUUAUCAUGGUCACAAAGGAGACACAGUUCUUCCGGUCUGCUCCCAUUGAGGUGUCGGAGGAAUUGAAAGGCAACGCCCUGGCGCUCCUUCAAUCUGUCUCCAGGAGAGUGCCACUGAGAGACACCAAGGAGGUGUCAGUAGAGAGGUGGUGGAGGUCAGUUAUUUUUGUCCACAAAGAUUGGUUGUUCAGUCCAGGGUUAUGCUAACAUUGUGGUCUUGCAUACAGAUAUGAAUUCUAGAUAACCUACUCUAAACACUAAUAAGUUUACCUUGUCCAGCUCUCUGCCCCACAGAAAGUGACAGUGGGAAAAGGAAGUUCCUUUGAGGACGGCCACUUUGAGAGAGGGCACAACCAGCAUAGCUGUUAGCCUAUGGAGGGAGGCUGCAGUCAUCCCUCUGAAAGUGGGAGAGGUGAUCACCUUGACCCAUUUAUAAGGACACACAUCCAGUUAUGGCUAGAAGCUGCAGUCAUCUGAUUACACUGCAGUAGAGGACUCAAACGCCAUCACUGCGUGUAGGAGCUCUUGGGGUGAUGGAGAGUCCAAGUAAGCCUGGGAUCCUGAAGCUCCUGACCAUGGAGGGAGACACAGUGCUGAUAGAAGAAGGUCUUUGGAGCAAGCUGGAACCCCCGAUGAAAGUCCCUCCUUUAAAACUUAAAAUUAAAAAAGUUGGGGACAAAAUAACAGAGACUGAGGCUGAAGAUGUCUUGGGGGAGAUGUAAAUAGUUUGUUUUAGUUAAUGUUCAGUGGGUUCAGAUGUUAAAAAUGUAAAAAGUGUAGUUGUUUUUAUUUGUGUUUGUGUUUGUUGUGUUUUGGUAAAAUAAAUUUCUAAAUAUUGCUAAA